rnacentral:lncRNA from 1 species
AGAAGGGAAGAUGAUUCAGGGCACAGGAGACAAUUCCCUGCCAAUAAGAAGCAUGCAAUCCCCUCACCAUUCUUACCAUUUUUAAGAGGAGGACACCCUGGUAAGGAGUCUGGGUUUCGUGCUGGCUAUAACAGAAAGUCCCUGAAGAGUCUAGCACAGGAAGAGGAGUCACCCUGCUGACUCUGGCUACUGCAAAGAAAACGAGGCCAAAGAGAGGGAGAGGAGAGAAGAGAGGAAAAAUCUAAGAAAUAAAGGGUGCAAUUGAAAAAAAAAAAAAACGAGAGUAAGAAGAAGUCAAGGGCAAAUAGACUGAGUAUAUUUUUUUACUUUUGAAAUCCAUUGUGCUCCGUCUACAGGGUGAUGACAUUCCAUGAUAAAUACUUGAAAAUAAUAAAUGAACAAAAUGUAGAGAGUGAGACACCAUCCACCUGCAGAACUUUUCAGGACUAGUAGCUACUACUACUCCUCUAACCCUCAACAUGACUGCCUCCCCCAGAGAAGCAGGUUUCUGUUCUUCAGCUUCUGCCUGGUGAGGUAGGGCGCCCAUCAGGUACUCCCUAGGUACUAACAGGCAUUAGAAUCACAAAGCCCAGUUCCUGCCUAUGGGCUAUACUAGUUUCAUAGGGCUGUUAUAGCAAAGUACUAGGUGGCUUAAACAUCAAAAAAGGGUUGUUUACAGUUCUGGAGGUGAAAAGUCCAAAUUCAAAGUAUUAGCAGAGUAGAUUCCCUCUGAAGCUUGGAGGGAAAGAUCUUCCCCAGGGCUCUCUCCUAUCUUCUGUUCCUUGCUUUGCAGCAUGAUUCAGUCUUGCUGUAACAUUCUCCCUCUGCCCUUGUCUGUCUCCAACUUCCCCCUUUUUAUAAGAACACUGGUCAUACUGAAUUAGGGCCCCCCAAAUGACCUCAUUGCAACUUCACUAUCUCUGUAAAGAUCUUGUCUUCAAUUAAAGAUACAUUCUAAGGUACUGGGGGCUAGGACUUCAGUAGGUGAAUUUGGCAGGAUGGGGGUACAAUUCAGUCCAUAAUAUGUGCAAAGGGGUGGAAGACCUAUAGCACAGCUGGACCUAAAAAGAAAAAGAAGAAGCAUUGACCUAGGGCAGCUCAGGCCCAGGGAAGUGAGCAGAAGCCGUGGGCCAGUUCCAGCGACCGGAGAAAGAACAUCAAAGGUAAAACUCAAAAGCCUCAGGCUGCCUGUUAAUAAGGGCUAGCCAGGGGAGCAGUGCCAAAGGCUGUACUGAUCUGCAUGCUGGAGGCAGGCCGGCAGAUGAAAGUCAUCUACCCAGACUCCACCAGUAGAACAGAGAUCAGGACAGGUGCAGCCAUAGGUGUGUCAAGUUCACCCUUAAUGGUCUUGUCCAGGAAUGAAUGAAUGAAUGAGUGCAAGUUGCUUGGAGAUUCAGGCGGAAGAUGUUGUGAAGUCCCAGGGCAGAGGGAUGGGCUUGGAUUUUGGGAGGCAAUUCAAGAAUUUCAGGAAAUUGGAUUUUCCAGUUGAGUUAAGAGGUCAUAAUACUAUAAUGAGCCAGUCCUGCUUGGUGGCUCUGAUAGAAGCAUAGAAGGCAAGUGGUUGGAUUCACACCAGGCUGAGGGUUUGCAGGGCUGCUGCAAGAGAAGGAAAGGAAUGAUGAACUGACGUGUGUGGGAUGGAAAAUUCUGGAAAGUAAUGAACAAACAUAGACUUGGGCUGGGAAGGGGAGCAGCAAAGUCCACAUCUCUAAAAAUCACUCACACCUCACCCUCCUCUACCACAGAACUAUUCAGGGCCACAGCUUGACUUUCUAAAUUCCCAUCUGCUCUCCUGCCUCCGUCUUGCCCACCCUUGCCUGCCUGCCCC